rnacentral:rRNA from 1 species
GCUCUAAUAGCGUAUAUUAAUGUUGUUGCAGUUAAAAAGCUCGUAGUUGGAUUGGAGUUUGACAAGUGGUCUGCCUAAGGUGUGUACUGCUUGUCGGCUCUUCUUUUCUGGGGACCACGCUGCUCUUUACUGAGGGGUGUUGGGAAUCAGAUCUUUUACUUUGAAAAAAUUAGAGUGUUCAAAGCAGGCCACGCAUUGAA